UGAGGAAUAUUGGACAAUGGGCGCAAGCCUGAACCAGCCAUGCCGCGUGAAGGAAGACGGCGCUAUGCGUUGUAAACUUCUUUUGUCAGGGAAUAAAUGUAGGUACGUGUACUUACUUGAAGGUACCUGAAGAAUAAGCAUCGGCUAACUCCGUGCCAGCAGCCGCGGUAAUAAUCA
rnacentral:rRNA from 1 species